ACCCCAGGCUCUAACGGGGCUC
rnacentral:rRNA from 1 species